rnacentral:tRNA from 1 species
GUGUGUGGCUCAGUGGGGAGAGCCUAGGACUCGUGACCGCAAUGUCCCGGAUUCGAAUCUCGGCAGAGGCA